CAAGUGCGCCAUUAUUUUGGUUUAGCCUGGAUUUCAACACGGCAAAAAGGUAUUACGUGCCGGAACCCAGACGACAGCUCGCUGUGGGGAGGAUGAUAGCCUUCCACUGGACAGAUAAAGCUAAGUGGUGUGGACAGGAGAAUUUUCUGUCUUAGAGGGUUGUGAUCUGACUGCCAGCACUGCUGCCCUCCUUCUGAAGAGAUCACUGGUUACUAAUGGGGACACCGGCGGAGCACUCAGUGAGUGAAACAUGCAGGUGUGAGCCUGAUCCAGGGGUGGAGGGAGAAGGCUGGGGAAGUGACUCCCAUGCAGAGCCCUGUAACACACCAGUUCCUCUGCCUGCAGCGAACAAGAAGAAAAAGAGAAAGAAGA